GACGUAGGGGGCAAGCGUUAUUCGGAAUCAUUGGGCGUAAAGCGCUCGUAGGCGGGACGGGAAGUCCGUGAAGAAAGACCUGGGCUCAACUCAGGGACCGGCACGGAUACUCUCGUUCUUGAGGCAAUCAGAGGGUGAUGGAAUUCCCGGUGUAGCGGUGAAAUGCGUAGAUAUCAGGAGGAACACCGGUGGCGAAGGCGGGUCUCUGGGCCAUUACUGACGCUGAGGAGCGAAAGCGUGGGGAGCGAACAGG
rnacentral:rRNA from 1 species